rnacentral:rRNA from 1 species
ACUCCUACGGGAGGCAGCAGUGGGGAAUAUUGCACAAUGGGGGAAACCCUGAUGCAGCCAUGCCGCGUGUGUGAAGAAGGCCUUCGGGUUGUAAAGCACUUUCAGUAGGGAGGAAGGUAGUGUAGUUAACACCUGCAUUAUUUGUACGUUACCUACAGAAGAAGCACCGGCUAACUCCGUGCCAGCAGCCGCGGUAAUACGGAGGGUGCGAGCGUUAAUACGGAAUUACGUGGGCGUAAAGCGCAUGCAGGCGGCCUGUUAAGUCAGAUGUGAAACGCCCGGGGCUUAACCGUCGGAAUUGCAUUUGAAACUGGCAGGCUAGAGUCUUAGUAGAGGGGUUAGAAUUUCAGGUGUAG